rnacentral:other from 1 species
ACAGUUCGGAUUUCAACCCACUGAUUUAUAUACAGGCUUUCCCUUGAGCAGGUAUACCCCAAUUGCUGUGUGUAGUCUUUGCCUGUCUCUAAUGACGGGCUUUUUUUUUA